UUAGCAUGGAAUAAUAAAAUAGGACGUAUGGUUCUAUUUUGUUGGUUUCUAGGACCAUCGUAAUGAUUAAUAGGGACGGUCGGGGGCAUCAGUAUUCAGUUGUCAGAGGUGAAAUUCUUGGAUUAACUGAAGACUAACUACUGCGAAAGCAUUUGCCAAGGACGUUUUCAUUAAUCAAGAACGAAAGUUAGGGGAUCGAAGAUGAUCAGAUACCGUCGUAGUCUUAACCAUAAACUAUGCCGACUAGGGAUCGGGUGGCGCUAUUUUGCCCACUCGGCACCUUACGAGAAAUCAAAGUUUUUGGGUUCUGGGGGGAGUAUGGUCGCAAGGCUGAAACUUAAAGGAAUUGACGGAAGGGCACCACCAGGAGUGGAGCCUGCGGCUUAAUUUGACUCAACACGGGGAAACUCACCAGGUCCAGACGUAAUAAGGAUUGACAAGUUAGAGACUUCUCUUGAUCUUACGGGUGGUGGUGCAUGGCCGUUUUUAGUCCUUGGAGUGAUUUGUCUGCUUAAUUGCGAUAACGGACGAGACCUUAACCUGCUAAAUAGGGCUGCGAGCAUCUGCUCGUGGGCUCUUCUUAGAGGGACUAUGGGUAUCAAACCCAUGGAAGUUUGAGGCAACAACAGGUCUGUGAUGCCCUUAGACGUUCUGGGCCGCACGCGCGCUACACUGACGGAGCCAGCAAGUAUAUCCUUGGUCGAGAGGCCCGGGUAAUCUCGUGAAACUCCGUCGUGCUGGGGAUAGAGCAUUGCAAU
rnacentral:rRNA from 1 species